rnacentral:lncRNA from 1 species
GUAGAUAUACCUUUCUAGAAAAAAAAAGAAAAAAAAAAGAGAAAAAAAAAUAGUAGUAAAUAAAUUCAAAAAAAAAAUAAGUGGUAGAAUUAACUAGGUUGAGCUCAUUAGUACUCGAGCAAUUAAGUCUGAGGGGACUUUGUGCCUAACAACCUAAAGCCCUUCGUGGUUUGGGAUUGUUGACCCAACGCUCGCUACAUGGGUACUAGUGCAUAAAUCUUUAGGGAUCUCAACCAUUGCACGG